GUCGAAGAUUUAUCUCACGAGUGAGUGCGUGUUCCACUUUCACGUCAUACCAAGUGUGACCAGAUGCGAUAGACGUUCGAGCAGUUUGAGUUCGGGCAAAAGAUACACAGCCCUGUUUCAGCUGAGCUUGCCCAUAGAGGGAGCUCAAUGUAACAGGAUGGGCAAACCUAAAAAGCAUAAAUCAUAAUUUAUGUAAAAUGUGCUAUAUAAGAAGCGGAAAAGAAGGGUUCUCCCUCUUUAAACCAGUGAUCCUUGAAAGAAGUUGUAGUGCGCGCGUGUUUAAUUUGUAAAAGGAUUUGUUAAUUGUGUUAGUCGUUAAAAGCAAAAGUAUGUUGAUAAUUGUUGUUAGAAAGUACGGAUAUUAGUUGUGUUAAUUGAUUAGUACGUUGAAAUCCCGUUAACCACAAUAAGAACGACAAAAACGACAGUAACAAACAAACUAAAAAACCACCAAGAAAAAGGUCCAUGCCAAAGGGACCUUUUUCUUUUGUACCUUUUUUCCAAGGUCUCGAGAGUGCAGUGCCACAGUGGUGAUUUCCGGGAAGAUUUGGCGAGUGCCCGUUGGCUUGGAUAAAGCAACGUCAUCGCUGGCCGAAGUGUGGCCGCCAUCUUCUAACACCGAUACGGAAAAUCCACGUCAUCAAUCUCGCACGGCAACACUCGUCCCGUC